GGGGAGAGGAGUCAUCAUCCAGGUAAAGUGACGUGGAUCAGUGGAUACACUUGUCUCCCCUUUAAAGGAGACGAUCCAAGUCAUCCUUAAAUAUGGGCAGCAUAUCAGUCUUGGACUGUCUAACCUGCAGCACUGAAUGACCACCACACAUGAGCAUGUUCCUGCAACAUUCAGCAUCUGAUCCUUCAUCUGUGUGCUUCUGCUUUUGUGUCACAUGUCAAACAGCUGGAGAGGAAACUACACCA